UCAUUGGUAAGUGCUUGCCUAGCGUGC
rnacentral:piRNA from 1 species